rnacentral:lncRNA from 10 species
GAGAAAUAAUAAAGACCAGAGUAGAAAUAAAUGAAAUUGAAAUUAAAAAAUACAAAGGAUUCAUGAAACAAAAAGUUGGUUUUUUUGAAAAGUUAAACAAAAUUGACAAGCCUUUAGUCAGACUAAGAAAAAAGAGAGAAGAUUCAAAUAAAUAAAAUUGGAAAUGAAAAAGAAGACAUUAGAACUGACACUGCAGAGAAUGAAAGGAUCAUCAGUGGCUAAUAGGAGGAACUAUAUACCAAUAAAUUGGAAACUCUAGAAGAAAUGGACAAAUUCCUAGAUACAUACAACCAACCAAAUUGAAUCAGAAGAAAUCCAAAACCUGAACAGACCAAUAAGUAAUGAAAUCAACAUUUUUACUACUGAAUUCUACCAAACAUUUAAAGAACUAAUACCAAUCCUACUCAAACUAUUCCAAAAAAUAGUGGAGGAGGGAAUACAUCCAAACUCAUUCUAUGAGGCCAGUAUUAUCCUGAUACCAAACCAGAGAAAGACAUAUCAGAAAAACAAAACUACUGGCUCACAUAUCUGAUGAAUAUUUAUAAAAAAAAACUUCAAGAAAAUGCUAGCAAACUGAAUUCAACAACACAUUAAAAUAUCAUUGAUCAUGACUGAUAUGGUUUGGCUGUGUCUCCACCGAAAUCUUAUCUUGAAUUGUAGUUCCCAUAAUCACCACGUGUUGUGGGAGGUACCCAGUGGGAGGUAACUGAAUCAUGGGGGCAGUUACCUCCAUGCUGUUCUCAUGAUAGUGAGUUAUCCUGAGGUCUGAUGGUUUUAUAAGGGGCUUUUUCCCCGCUUCAGUCUGCACUUUUCCUUGUUGCCAUCACACAAAGAAGGAGAAGAAGAACCUGUUUGCUUCCCCUUCUGCCAUGAUUGUAAGUUUCCUGAGGCUGAUCAGCCCUGCAGAACUGUGAGUCAAUUAAAUCUCUUUCCUUUGUAAAUUACCCAGUCUCAGGUAUGUCUUUAUUAGCAGCAUGAGAACAGACUAACAUAGUAAAUUGGUGCCAGGUAGUGAGGCAUUGCUGUAAAGAUACCCAAAAAUGUGGAAGCGACUUUGGAAUUGGGUAACAGGCAGAGUUUAGAACAGUUUGGAGGGCUCAGAAGAAGGCAGGAAAAUGUGGUAAAGUUUGGAACUUCCUAGAGACUUGGAGGGCUCAGAAGGCAGGAAGAUGUGGGAAAGUUUGGAACUUCCUAGAGACUUGUUAAAUGGCUUUGAUCAAAAUGCUGAUAGGGAUAUGGACAAUAAAGUCCAGGCUGAAGUAGUCUCAGAUGGAGAUGAGAAACUUGUGGGAACUGGAGUAAAAGUCACUCUUGCUAUACAAAGAGACUGGC